UGAGGAAUAUUGGUCAAUGGGCGCGAGCCUGAACCAGCCAAGUCGCGUGAGGGAUGACGGCCCUACGGGUUGUAAACCUCUUUUGUCGGGGAGCAAAUUCCGCCACGUGUGGCGGAGUCGAGAGUACCCGAAGAAAAAGCAUCGGCUAACUCCGUGCCAGCAGCCGCGGUAAUACGGAGGAUGCGAGCGUUAUCCGGAUUUAUUGGGUUUAAAGGGUGCGUAGGCGGACUGUCAAGUCAGCGGUAAAAUACGAGGGCUCAACCUCCGCCCGCCGUUGAAACUGACGGUCUUGAGUGGGCGAGAAGUAUGCGGAAUGCGUGGUGUAGCGGUGAAAUGCAUAGAUAUCACGCAGAACUCCGAUUGCGAAGGCAGCAUACCGGCGCCCAACUGACGCUGAAGCACGAAAGCGUGGGUAUCGAACAGGAUUAGAUACC
rnacentral:rRNA from 1 species